rnacentral:rRNA from 1 species
UACGAAGGGUGCAAGCGUUACUCGGAAUUACUGGGCGUAAAGCGUGCGUAGGUGGUUUGUUAAGUCUGAUGUGAAAGCCCUGGGCUCAACCUGGGAAUUGCAUUGGAUACUGGCAGGCUAGAGUGCGGUAGAGGGUAGUGGAAUUCCCGGGUGUAGCAGUGAAAUGCGUAGAGAUCGGGAGGAACAUCUGUGGCGAAGGCGACUACCUGGACCAGCACUGACACUGAGGCACGAAAGCGUGGGGAGCAAACAGGG